UUGACUCACAAAUGAUAAUAGUUAUUAUUACCACAGCUGGCCGCGAGGUCGGCGGGUAAGCUGAGAGCCCUACCGCAGUCGGACACUCAGGUUAUCUCCUCAUCAGGCUAAUCACGGUUUUCGACCCGGCUCAUCGCCGGGUCUUUUUUU
rnacentral:sRNA from 1 species